GAAUAUGUAAUCAAGUGGUAAGGACACUUGCCUCUCACCCUGGAGUCCCGGGUUCGAUCCCCGGUCGAGGAUCU
rnacentral:tRNA from 1 species